rnacentral:lncRNA from 1 species
UUUAAUUCAUGAAUGCUGAUUCAUGAUAUAAGGAAGCAGGAGGUGUCACUUUAUUAAACAUGAUACAAGACACUAAGCUUUUGUCUAUUAAAUGAGAAAAAGAAAAACCACAAAACAUACUCAGUAAAAAAAAAAAACCUGGGCGUAUCAUUUUGGGAUUAGGAGGUGGCAUAGUUUAAGUAAGUAAUUAGAUUGACUCAGCUAAGUAAGUCCUCUAUGCUCUGCUGCAUUCCAUCUCUUGUUCAUUUAAAAAAAAAAAUUAUUACCAAGCUAAGAUAGAUUCCUUCUUCUUUCUUUUUGGUUUCGGAACUGCACUUCAAAGCUUGUGUCGAAAUCUUCUUAGGCUCCGAUGUAAUCAUCAAAUUAGGCGAGUAAAUCAAAUUGAAGGGACAGAAGUACUACAAUCAAUUGGUCUUCAAAGGAGGAUUUCUAGGAAUUUGAAUUAAAAAGCAAAUAAGGAGGUAAGUUAUGAGAUUAUUCUACAAUUUCAGUAAUGGAAUAUGUAUAUGCAAAUAUGGGCUAAAAUAAUGUUAAAUGAAAAAUUGAACUGUGAUUUGAAUUGUGAUAACUAUGAAUUAGAAAAGAGGGAAUUUAGUUGUUAUUGUGAGGAGUAUUGGAAGAAGAAAGUUUGGAUUUACACGUGUGAACAUGUAUGAUCUUUGCCCCCAAAAAAAAUGCCUAUGUUAUGUUUGAUAAAAGGUUUCUUAUAAGCUCUUAGCAUAAAUAAAAGAAUUUUGGUCCAAUUUAUGAAUUAUAAAUUUUUAUAUCUGUUUUUUUUAUAAGAACUGAAGAAGGUUGAACAAACUAAUUUUAAGUUUGGGGCUGCUUAAUGUCUUAUGAAUGGAAUGACUGUGUUGGUAAAUCAGUGGCAACCAGGUAACUUUGGACACUUGUUAAGCUUGUUUCAAGUGGUUGUUUUGGUUAGUAUUUUUUUAAUGGGUUGAUAUACUAAUUAUAACAUAUCACAAUUUUGUUGUAAUUGGAUUCAUAAAUUGGGGGAAAAUAAUGUGCAAAGUGGGCAUGUUAGUUAUGGUUCAGCUGGGCAGCAAACUCGCUGCGUUGUCGUGACUGUUACAGCUAGCUAGUUUAGCUUUUGUUUAAAACUAUUGGAGCCCAAAAUCCACUUUCUAUUAUACUCACGAUUUACCCACAUAUUAUACCCUUGUGUAUAUGUUUACAGAUCGUGCGUCACAUAUCUGUAAAACUUUUUAUUGAUAUGUGGGAUAUCAAUAUCAACUUUCUCUAAACAUGAGAAACCAUCCUUAGCAGACAACAAUAUUAGAGAAAUAUCCUUUGUAGUCAAAAUAUGAGAGUCUGGGUGCUAAGACUAAAAACUUAAAAGUGAAAGGAUUUUCCCCAAUAAUACUGAGAUAUGGUGAGGUGUGUGAGAUUAGAUUAAGUAAAAUUGAAAACCUCUAUAUUAUAUUACAUUUUCAACACACAUAAAUAGAUAUUCUUCAAAUGGGGAAAAUUGUCAAAACUAAAAUCUCUCUCCCAUAAAAGUUAUUGCAGUUAAGUGUAAAGUUAAUGUCGGAGAACUCCAAAGAUACUCUUGUAACUUGCAAGCACUUAGAGAUAAAGCUUUUAAACUAGACCUUAAAUUCUUUCCAAUUAGAAUCAAAUUCCGGCAACGUAGUAUUCAGUUUAUGUUUUAAGGACGGAGAGGAAAAAAGACGGCGGAGUGGAAAAUUUUCAGUCAAAUUUUUCAAACGAGUGCAGGCUGAAUUCCUGUACAUUAUGAGAAAUUGCAUAGUUUGCAUGCUUAACUUUGUUCCGACAUUAUUAUGAAAAAUAACGUAUAGUUAAAAAUGAGUUUUAUAACUUGUUUUAAAACGAAACUUUAAAGACUGUUUUGCUGUGACGUAUGAUGAUAUAUCUUGAACGUUAAAAGAUAAUAUAUGUGUAAGGAUGGUCAAUACUAGUCAUGAAAGCAAUGACUAGUUUAUGGGGAGAAUCGAUUAAGAAACUAUAAAUGAAAUGAAUCUAUUUAAAGGAUAGUAAGAGUUAGUAAAGUAUGAGGUUUUGAACUAAAAAUCUGAUUUGGACUUACAGUUAUAUAUAUACAUGUUAAAUGUAUAAGUCAAGAAAUGAGAAGAAGUUACAUUGUGAAAUUAGCUAAAGACUUUCAAAGAAACUAAAUGAAAGUUUUAAAGAAAAAGAUAUAGUAAUAUUAAUUAAGUUGAUAUUAAAUAUAUGAUUGACUGAUAUGGCAUGAAUGUACAUUUAAUUUGUGUAGGAACAUCGCAGAGCAGAUAAACAAUAAUAUUAGACAGUGCUACAGGCAAGUUUUUCAGUUCUGUUAUGUUUGUGGAUGGAAUGUGGUUAUGUGCUAAAUUACAUAUCAUGCUCUAUGAAUUGUUAAAGUCAAAAUAUGACUCAGUUAAUUGGGUUAUGGAACUCAAUUUAUAUGUGAUUUGUGAUAACACAUGUUGUAUGAUGUAACUCGAUAAAUUAAAAAUGUAUAAUGCAUGAAUGUAUGCUUUGUAAGGAAUUAUUGAUGCAUGUAGGAUAUGCAUAGUAAAGAAUAUAUGUUGCAUGCGGAUAUGCAUAUUAAGGGUAAUGUAGUGCAUAUGGAAUUGUGUGCUAUGUGAAACAUGAUAGACUGUUAAAUUUGCUGGGCUGUCGAGCUCAAUCUUGCAAACACAAACUUUUUGCAGGUUAAUGACGUUAUGCAAUAUUAUUUGUGUUUUGCGGAUGAUGAAGGAUGAAUGAUGGACGAAAUGAAUACAUUUCUUUGAAUUAGAAAUGGUAUAAAGCUAUGAUUGAUAGUUGCUAAAUAUAAUUGGCAGUAAUGUAUAGUUUGAAAUGUUAAAUAGAUAAAGAAUGUUUAUUCUGAAAUGAGAAUAAAUAUAAUUUUAGUAUAAAGAAGAAUUGUAAAGGUUGCGAUUCAGGGAAUGAAUGAAUGGGAAUAAAGAAGAAAAUUAAAAUUUAUUCUGCAUUUUUAGCUAUUUUAACAUUAAAUAAUGUUUUAAAGCUAUAACAAGGUAGUAUUAACGCACAAGAUCGGGAAGGGAAAUGGUCCCGAUUUUGGGGGCGUUACAUCCAUCCCCACAUGCAAACAAUGGGCAGUGGCCAAGCCAUCAAAUAAUUUCAGUGGGGUCAAAUUAUUAAAUUACACACACAAAAAAUCUAUUACACACACAUAUCUAUUACACACACAUAUAUAUAUAAAUUCUGUGAAAUCAAAUUAUUAAAUUACACUCACAAAAAAUCUAUUACGUUAUAUAUAAAAAAUAAAAUAAAAAUUCAGUGGGGUCAAUUGACUCACACUCAUACAUGUAGCUUCGACCUUGUUUGGCAUAUUAUUUUAGUAGUGAUAAUAUA